AGGCUUAACACAUGCAAGUCGAGGGGUAACGGGGUGCUUGCACCGCCGACGACCGGCGCACGGGUGCGUAACGCGUAUACAAUCUACCUUGUAGAGGGGAAUAGCCCAGAGAAAUUUGGAUUAAUGCCCCAUAGUAUUAUUAGAUAGCAUUAUUUGAUAAUUAAACAUUUAUGGCUACAAGAUGAGUAUGCGUUCUAUUAGUUAGUAGGUAAGGUAACGGCUUACCUAGACUUCGAUAGAUAGGGGUCCUGAGAGGGAGAUCCCCCACACUGGUACUGAGACACGGACCAGACUCCUACGGGAGGCAGCAGUGAGGAAUAUUGGACAAUGGGCGAGAGCCUGAUCCAGCCAUGCCGCGUGCAGGAAGACGGCCCUAUGGGUUGUAAACUGCUUUUAUAGAGGAAGAAACACUCCUACGUGUAGGAGCUUGACGGUACUCUACGAAUAAGGAUCGGCUAACUCCGUGCCAGCAGCCGCGGUAAUACGGAGGAUCCAAGCGUUAUCCGGAAUCAUUGGGUUUAAAGGGUCCGUAGGCGGGACAAUCAGUCAGCGGUGAAAGUCUGUGGCUCAACCAUAGAAUUGCCAUUGAUACUGUUGUUCUUGAAUACUUAUGAAGUGGUUGGAAUAUGUAGUGUAGCGGUGAAAUGCAUAGAUAUUACAUAGAACACCGAUUGCGAAGGCAGAUCACUAAUAAGUCAUUGACGCUGAUGGACGAAAGCGUAGGUAGCGAACAGGAUUAGAUACCCUGGUAGUCUACGCCGUAAACGAUGGUUACUAGCUGUUCGGAAGCAAUUCUGAGUGGCUAAGCGAAAGUGAUAAGUAACCCACCUGGGGAGUACGUUCGCAAGAAUGAAACUCAAAGGAA
rnacentral:rRNA from 1 species